rnacentral:rRNA from 1 species
GACGAACGUUGGCGGCGUGCCUAAUACAUGCAAGUCAACUGAAAUACCGGUAGCAAUACUGGUAUGGAGGUGGCGCACGGGUGAGUAACACGUAGGUAAUCUGCCUUCAGGUCUGACAUAACCCAUCGAAAGGUGAGCUAAUAUCAGAUGAUGCAGCGGCUUGACAUCAAGACAGUUGUUAAAGCUUCGGCGCCUGAAGAUGAGCCNGCGUCUGAUUAGCUAGUUGGCGGGUAACGCCCACCAGGCUGCGAUCAGUAGCUGGUCUGAGAGGAUGAUCAGUCACACUGGAACUGAGACACGGUCCAGACUCC